UAAUAAAUUGGCACGUUAGCACGUUAUUGCAAUAUCCCAUAGUACAUACAUGUUAUUAAAACUUGAACUAAUGCAUUGUGAGUCUUAUAAAUUGCUUACAUACCUCACCGAUUUCCCACUGUCUGGAAAACGCUCGGUUUAGUUCCUGUCUCCGCCUCCCAAAAUGUCUAGUGUAAUCGGAUUGGUCAGAUGACUACUCAACUGUUAUUGGUCAGCUGGGUUCGGCGUGUGUUUGAAAGGUUACGCCCCUGACUACGCGUGGGUUGACACAGAUUCUGACUGAGAGUCACAGCCUCAGAGGCAACGUAAACAAGCGUUAUAUUUCUCUAUAAACGAUGGUGUCUGUACUGCCUUACCACUUCGAGCUCGAUCCAGAGAGUUCAGAAGGCCGUUACGAUAUAAACGAUCUCCGUCAAUGAAUGCGAUUGGAUUUAACUUUUUUAGGUGUCCUUAGCUCUGCCAGAAUGCUAAACGAAGACGAAAAUGUGUUGCAAAGACAUCCAAAAGGUUUUAAGGAGAAUGCAACAUGUUCCAGGGCCUCUUACCUGCGUGAUUCAUCAUCCAGGUUUUGCACAAAUUGUCUAAAUCCCUACACACAGAACAUUUAUUGUACCGACUAUAAGCCUUUGAGGUGCAGGACUAGAAUAUGCUUGGAGCUUCCUGAUCGGAAUGUUGGCUUCCGACGACCCCUGCACUGAAGAUGGCAUGCAAUCACGUCCUCCUUUGAAGGUCUCUCAAACUGUGAUGCCGGGUCCAUUGGAAUCGGGGUUUCCUUCAGCUUAUCUUCAAAUACCUCAGCAAACACAAGCCUGAUCACAUCAUCCACAUAACUGUACAAAUAUUGCAGUCAAUAAAUCUUUUGUUUUGAUCAUUUAUUUCCCUGCUUCAUACAUUAAGUUUUUAAUUAUGAAUGUAUUUGAAAUAAAACAUUACUGCUUAUGGUAUGUCAUUUGUGUGUUUUGGGAA